rnacentral:rRNA from 1 species
AUUGAACGCUGGCGGCAUGCCUAACACAUGCAAGUCGAACGAAGGCUUCGGCCUUAGUGGCGCACGGGUGCGUAACGCGUGGGAAUCUGCCCCUCGGUUCGGAAUAACAGUUAGAAAUGACUGCUAAUACCGGAUGAUGACUUCGGUCCAGAGAUUUAUCGCCGAGGGAUGAGCCCGCGUAAGAUUAGGUAGUUGGUGGGGUAAAGGCCUACCAAGCCGACGAUCUUUAGCUGGUCUGAGAGGAUGAUCAGCCACACUGGGACUGAGACACGGCCCAGACUCCUACGGGAGGCAGCAGUGGGGAAUAUUGGACAAUGGGCGAAAGCCUGAUCCAGCAAUGCCGCGUGAGUGAUGAAGGCCUUAGGGUUGUAAAGCUCUUUUACCAGGGAUGAUAAUGACAGUACCUGGAGAAUAAGCUCCGGCUAACUCCGUGCCAGCCGCCGCAGUAA